ensembl:lncRNA
GAUUGAGCACCUGGUGGGAAGGCGGGGCCAACCCAGGGGAGCUCCGUGCAUGCAGUGCACCUGAGUGACUGGAAGGGAUGGAGCCAGGAUCCACCCCUUCCCAGACCUCAUGUAAGGGUUGGCAGUGGAGGUGAGGGCUUCUUGCUGGAGAUCCCUGCCUACCUGAGGCCUUCUGAAAGUUCUGUUCUCAUCAAGGAAUGCCUGACAAGGAGAAGAUGUGAAUAGGAUGCAGCUGAAAGCUUUUGAGCCCUUGGGAUUUAGUGGAAGGAAAGAAAUGUAGCAGACUCCUCUCUUCUUUUUGUGUGGCCAGCUCUGGAUGCAGAAUUCUGCAGCACGCCUUGAUCUAGAGAAACUGCUUGGGAAAACAUGAACAAAACACGACUCCUUUGCUGCCCCUUGGAACAGAGAGCAAAACUUUCUGCCCAUUGUUGUGGAUGUCAGGGAGGAAGCUCAG